AUACCCCAUUCCCCAUUUGACCUAACCUAAUUCUUACCCCUAUAAAAUAACCUUUAACUCCUAAAAUGAAGAAGAACGAAUCUAAGAAAAGAAGCAGCAGCUACACAAAGACCCCUCCCCAUCUUUCUCUCCAAAAAAAAUAAAAACCAGCAACGAUAAACCAUUCCAAAAAAAGAUCGGACUUAAAAAGGGUGAGAAAUCAGAAAAGAAAAAAAAAGAGUCUCCUCCCUCCUUUUCAAGCAAAUCGCAACAUCCUUAUACCAUGCUUCUUCCUAAUUUCGCCAGAAAAACAGCCGCUAAUAGCUGAUCUCGCAAGGUCAGCAAGAAGUGUUAGGGAAUCUCGUCGAGUGCUUGAGGUUGAAAUUUGGUCCGUGGUAACCUGUGCUUUGUCCGAAUUUGAAGUGUAAUCGCAUUCAAUACAUAAUUAUAUAAUACAAAGGUCUUUUCCCUUUUCUACCUUAUUUCAAUUUUUAAUUCAUGUAUCAUGAAUCAGUGGAUUAUUUUGUUAUUUAUUUAUGCUUGUUGUGUGGAAUAUAAAUAAUAGUGAUUUUUGACUUUUUCUUUUUUGGGGGAUUUUAACAUUGAUUUUACCAUAUGUUCAUCUAUUAUGGUAAAAUUUCUUCGCUUAUAAGACUGUCCAAUUCUAAACACAUAUGUUACUUUCUUUGUCAAUUUUUUGUUUUUCUUGAGGACAUGACUUGUUUAUAUCUCAUCCAUAUAUUCAUCCAUUGAACCAAACAUAACAAAUCGAGUUUCCAUAAUUUCUGACUUGGUUGAGCUGAGCGUAACAGAAGUUGACGCCGUCAUUUUAACUACAAAAUGUGAUUCCCUUGCAGUGAAGGAUCUAGUUUUUCAUUAUCUGGGUUUUCUUUUGACCAUAGAGCUCUUAUAAAAUUAGACUCAUUUUUUAUUUUUAUGUUCUUUUUUAUAGAUGGGUAGCUGUUAUUAAUUAUUUGUGAGUGUUUUCUGUUUUUUUAUUUGUAUUAGCUUUUUUUUUCUUUCUGACAUAUCUAAUUAGUCAAAUAUUGAAUAUUGGGAAUUCAUGUUUGGAUUUAAUUUAGUUUUUUUUUGUUGAAAUUUACCUAUAUAGCAACAAUAUGGUCAUAUCUACGUCCCUUUUUGUGAGUUCUCCAAAAUGUGUUAUUUAGUUCUCUUUGUUAAAAUUACCAUAGUUGUUGUUGUUUAAUAUGUGCUUAUUAUUAUGUUGCUUUUUGUUUUGUUAAUAAUACCCAGGAAAUUGGAAGCAACUUGUUAGUUUUGUGUUGGAUUAUUGAACAUCGUAGGAAUGCUUUAGGCGCGUAAUUAAAACCUCAUGACUAUGGGUACGGUUCCCGUGGCAUGGUCAUGAUACGUAAAUCUCAAUCGAGGUAUGCCAUUAGUUGAAUUUCCACGGCCCUCACAAAGUAGAAAAAUGUGUAGUUCCUUUAGGUGCGUAUUUUAAAAUUUACCUUCCUAAACUCGGGUGCGCAAAUAUGUGACCCAAAUCCAAAUCUCAACAAUGUUAGAUAAAAUGUGUUGCAGACUGCGGGUGCAUUUAUGUGACGUGGUUCAAGACGUAUUUUAAAUGAAGUCGCAAUCCUCCUUAAAAUGAAUAAAAGCGGUUAUAAAGUUAAAAUUGAACCAUAGGCUAAAACAUGUAUUAAAAUCAAGUAAAUAGGCCAAUUAUAACAGUUGAGCGACCGUGCUAGAACCACGAAACUCGGGAAUGCCUAACACCUUCUCCCGGGUUAACAAAAUUUCUCACCCAGAUUUCUGUGUUCGCAGAUUGUAAUAAAGAGUCAAUCUUUUCCUCGAUUCGGGAUUUGAACCGGUGACUUGGGACACCAUAAAAUUAUUCCAAGUGGAAACUCUGAAUUUUAAAUGAAAUAAUCCCGUUUUGAUUGUCACUUAAAUUGGACAAACUCCCUCAUAUACCCUUUCGGGGUGUAGGAAAAAGGAGGUGUGACAGCAGCAUGACAACUCCGGCCACCAUCGUUGUAACGCCAUCGGCGAGCUCAGUCACAACUGUAUCAAUGCAUGCAAAGCCACUAACGUUUGGAAGCUUUCUUCCACUUCAGUUACAAACGAUAAGAGAAGACCCAAAUGAAGGUGUAGCUAAUGGCCAACAGAAUCUAGCUGGGAAAAGAGUUGCACGAAGAACAGGAGAAGAGAUCCCACGCCAGCUCCAAUUUUCCGACCUAACAAAAUCCACGGUACAUUCUUCAUCUAUGACUCAGGAACAGGAACCAAUUGAAUAGGAAAACAGAAUAGGUGAGGUGAAGCCUUAUAAGAGGAAUCGUAGCUCUCAAAUGGGGAAAGUUCUCACAUAUAUUCCACCAGAUCUACAAGGAGAUACAAUUGUAGUAACAAUUGUAGAGGAAGACAUAAAGGAACAGCAGAGUUAUUGGAAUAACUCACUCAAUGGGUACGUGCUGGGUGAAAAUCCAUAUUUCAAAUCUACGGAGAACUAUGUUAAAAAUGUGUGGGAUUUUGUUAAUACUCCAAAGAUCUUAUACCAUGAUGAUGACUAUUACUCCCUCCAUUUCAAUUUAUGUGAACCCAUUUGACUGGGCACAGAGUUUAAGAAAAGAGAGAAGACUUUUGAACUUGUGGUGUAAAAUGAAGCACAUAUAUUUUGUGUGGCUAUNNNNNNNNNNNNNNNNNNNNNNNNNNNNNNNNNNNNNNNNNNNNNNNNNNNNNNNNGAAACGGAUGGAGUACAUAUUUAGAUUUGAUUCACCUGAAGAUAGGGAUAAAGUCAUGCAACUAGGUCCUUACACUUUUCAUAAUAAGCCAUUUAUUUUGAAAAAUUGGUCACUUGAUUUUUUCUUUGAUCCGGAGUGUUUGAACUUUGAAUGUGAUUCUAUUGUGGGUAAGAUUCCCAAAUUUGUCAGUCGGAUAUUGGUCAACUGAGGCUCUAAAUUGGAAAGUGUAGUAGGAAGGCCAAUGUAUACAGAAUUAUACACUGCUGAGAUGGAUAGAAUUUCAUUUUCCAGAGUCCUUGUAUAAACAGACAUUUCUCAUCCUCUGCCAAGUGAUAUUGAAAUUCAUACACCAGUAGGAGUUAUUCAUCAAAGCAUAGAGUAUGAUUGGAAGCCUAAAUUUUGUAUGCAUUGUGCAAAAGUUGGGCAUACCACUGAGGAAUGCAGACAGAGCAAGGAAAAAGAGACAAAUUGAGCAUUUGUAGAACAAAACAGAAGAAAGAGAAGGGGCAAAAGAAGGAAAAAGAUGGAAACUAAAUGGGUAGAAAAAGAGGUGAAUGUUCCAACAGUUGAAGAGCAAAUGGUUGAUGCUACAAAGGAGGCUGUAACUGAGCAAAAUGCAGUAGGCUCACAAAUGGAAGGAAGGCAGCUGGAUAGGAAUGAAUUCCCAGCACUCUCAGAAGUAAUAAUGAAUGAGAGAAGAUAUGAGAAGAGAAUGGUUGUGUCUACUGUGGAGGAACAAAGUUGUUCUACUAGUCAAAUUGAUACCACAAAUAGAUUUGAGAUUCUGAAUCAGGGUGGUAUUUCAGCUGAUACUGGGCAGGGUGGACAACUCCAUCCUACGCCUCUAUGAUAGUCAAUACCUAUAAUAUUAGAGGGCUGAACAUGCCCUUUAAACAGAAGGAGUUGGUGCUCUUUCUAAAAAAGUACAAGGUAGAGGUAAUGGGACUAGUUGAGACAAGGGUGAAAGAGAACAAGGCAAAAAGAAUAACCCAGAAGAUUGUUAAGGACUGAAAGUAGAGUAUAACUAUAACUAUGCAUAUAAUGGGAGAAUUAGUUAUUGUGGAAGCCUCAUAUUCACAUUCAUAUUCUUAUUGUAGAUGCACAGUUUGUUCAUUGUGAAGUGGAAGAACAAAUUAGUCAGCUUUUCACUGUUGUAUAUGCUUAUAAUGAAUCGAACUCAAGGCAGCAGUUAUGGGCAAGCUUAUUGAUAUAGGUUCUAAUAUCACAAGUGACUGACUAAUUAGUGGUGAUUUUAACAAUGUCUUACAAACAGAUGAUAGAAUUUGAGCUCCUAUAACAUUGGCAGAGGUACAAGGAUUUAAGGAGUUCUUGGAUAAACUGCAGUUCACUCCCUUAAAGCACAUGAUGGUAUUAUAUGUGAUGCAAUAAAAGGGAUGAAAAUGCAAGGGCAUAUAGCAAGAUAGAUUGGGCUUUUGGGAAUUUCAGUUGGAUGAUGAACAAUGGGCACAUUGAGGCAGAAUAUUUGAACCCUAGUGUCUCUGAUCACACUCCUAUACUGAUGAAUUGUUAGUCUUGUAUGAUUCAACAACACUUGCAUCCUAGACCAUUUAGAUUGUACCAUACUAUCCUUCACCAUCCUGAAUUAACAAGGAUAGUGAAAGCAGUAUGGGUGCAGAAUGAUAGAGAUAUAGGUAAGGCAAGGACAUGGUAUAAGCUUAGAAGACUGAAGGAGGCAUUGAGAGGCUUGAACAAUUAUGGCAUCUUAUCAGCGGAAACUGACUCAAGCAAAGCAGAAGCUGGAACUUGUUCAGCAUCAACUGUCUCUGUAGCCUUUAAGGCAAGAAUGCAUAGAACAAGAAAAGGAAGCUUUGUUAGAAGUGGAGCAAUGGAGUGACAUUGAAGAGCAGGUGUUGAGGCAAAAGUCUAGAGCUACUUGGAUUCAACAUGGAGAUGCAAAUACCAAGUACUUCCAUGCUCAGUGGAAGAUGCAUACUAAUAUUAAUGCUAUUGUUUCUAUUUAAAAUGAUGCAGGUAUUAAAUUAACAGAUCCUAAACAAGUGGAGGAGCAAUUUCUGGACUUCUUGAAGAAAUUGAUGGGUGAGUCAUCAUCAAUGCACCCUUGUCCAGAUGCUGAGGUGAUAAAAAAGGGACCUUGUCUAACAAGGAAACAACAAUUGGAGUUGAUCAAGGCAGUCACAGUGGAGGAGAUAAUGGGAGCUAUUAAAAGUAUGUCAACUAACAAGGCUCCUGGGGUAGAUGGUUUUCCAGUAGAAUUCUUCACACAACAAUGGGAGGUGAUCAGAGUAGAUGUGAUUGCUGAUGUCUUGGAUUUCUUUAAUACAGGGAAGCUACCAAAGGCCAUCAAUAGCACUGCUGUUACUCUAAUUCCUAAAGUUCCUAAUCCUACACUGGUUAAGGACUUUAGGCCAAUAGCAUGUUGCACAACUAUUUACAAGAUUAUCACAAAGAUCAUCACUGGGAGGUUAAAAGUAGUAAUGAACUAUCUGGUGAAGGACUCUCAAUCAGCUUUAAUUGAAGACAGGAAUAUAACUGAUAAUAUUCUAUUCACCCAUGAAUUGUUCAAAGGCUAUACUAGGAAAGGAAUAUCUGCAAGAUGUAUUCUCAAGGUUGAUCUUAGAAAAGCCUAUGAUACAUUGGAUUGAUUCUAUUUGAAGAGGAUGCUGAUAAGAUUGGGGUUUCCACACGAAUUUGUUUGUUGGAUAAUGGAGUGCCUAACAAUUGUAUCCUACUCUUUGACCUUAAAUGGAGGACUCACAAAGUUAUUUGAAGGUAAAAGAGGGAUAAGACAGAGAGACCCUAUGUCACCCUACUUAUUUGUGAUAGCUAUGGAGUACUUGCAAAGGGAAUUUAGUCAAUUGGCUUUAAAUAAGGAUUUUCAUUUUCAUCCAAGGUGUAAAAGACUAGGAGUGAUGCAUGUGUGUUUUGCUGAUGAUUUAUUCAUGUUCUGCAGAGCUGAUUUGAAGUCAAUUAAGUUACUCCAGAAUGCUUUUCUGAAAUUUUCAAGAGCUUCAGGCCUUCAGGCAAAUCCAGAUAAAAGCUCAGUUUACAUUGCAGGCAUAAAUGAGAGGAUGAAAGAACUUAUCUUGGAGGAGUUGGGAUAUAAUGAAGGAAUCCUACCAUUUAAAUACUUAGGGGUAUCAUUAGCUCCUAAAAAGCUAUCUAACCAACAGUGCUGGCCAUUGGUUGAAAAGAUCACUGUAAUGAUAAGUUGCUGGACCUCAAAAUUGUUGUCAUAUUCUGGAAGAUUGCAACUCAUUAAGUUAGUGAUUUUGGGAUGCAGUCUUAUUGGUCUCAGGUAUUUUUAUUACCAAAGAAGAUUAGCAAGAUGAUAGAGGCAAUAUGUAGAACUUUUAUGUGGACAGGGCAGGCUGAUAUAUCUAGAAGAGCUUUGGUAGCAUGGGACAGAGUUUGUUUACCACAAAUAAUGGGAGGUUUGAAUGUGAUAAACCUUUGUAACUGGAACAAAGUUGUAAUAGUGAAGCACAUGUAGGCAAUCACAAAGAAGAAAAACUGCUUAUGGAUUAGAUGGAUCCAUUCUUAUUACAUAAAGAACAGGAGCAUUGACCCCAUGCAUAUAACUAAGAGUGCAGCUUGGGUAAUAAGGAAGAUUAUUGAACAAAGGAAGUUUAUACUGAAUUUAUUAAGUUUACAAGGCAAUGUGCAAGAAAGACUGGAGUCCUUACAGAACACAAAUGGUAAAUUCGGUAUUAAGAAGCUCUGUAACUUGCAAACUCCUCAGGGUCGGACUGCGCACGCAAAUCGAAAAAGGCUAAAAUGAUGUAUUUGAGAUUUUGAAAUACAAAAUUAGGGUUUAAAACUCUAGAUGACCUAUUUGGUCAUCACAUACUUAUUGACUUAACUUAUGACAAUCCCUGAAGUGUGAAGGAUUUAAAUCUUUUAAGGCAUAUACAAUUCUUGGUCCUGAAGUACUACAUCCUAAGUGCAAUUUGUGCACAUAUGUAUCUUGCUAUAACUAUAAGCAUGAUAAUAUGAUAAUGAGAAUGUCUAUGGAGAUAUUGAAAAGGUCAUUCCACGAUAUUAUAUGACAUUACAUAUCUAUAAGAAUGAUGAUUUCAAGGUGCAAUAUAUUCAUUCAAGUUAAUAUGGCUGAUUUGUUUAUCAAAUCUCUACGAACAAUCUUUUGAAGAUGGUGCACACAAUUGAAAUGCGAAGGCUCAAGGAUGUGAAUUAAUGCUCUCAUCAGGGGAAGUUAAUAUGCGU
rnacentral:lncRNA from 1 species